rnacentral:lncRNA from 1 species
CGGCUCCCUCUGAGCUCUCCGAGAGAUUGGUCGGGACCUGAAGCGUUGAGGUUAAGGGCAAGGCAAGGAGCAACGAGGAGUUUUUCGUUACGUUAGAAAAAUUUCGUUGCGUGCUGAAGCGCUUUUACCUGUGUUGUAUGAUUUAACCUUAUGAAAAUGGACAGUAUUCCAGUUUUACAAGUGAGGAAAGAAGAUUAAGAAACUUGCCUCCGCCAGGCGUGGUGGUUCACUCCUGUAAUCCC